rnacentral:rRNA from 1 species
UACGUAGGGUGCAAGCGUUGUCCGGAAUUAUUGGGCGUAAAGAGCUUGUAGGCGGUUUGUCGCGUCUGCCGUGAAAGCCCAGGGCUUAACCCUGGGUCUGCGGUGGGUACGGGCAGACUAGAGUGUGGUAGGGGAGACUGGAAUUCCUGGUGUAGCGGUGAAAUGCGCAGAUAUCAGGAGGAACACCGAUGGCGAAGGCGGUGGUCUGGGCCGGCACUGACGCUGAGGAGCGAAAGCGUGGGUAGCAAACAGG